UACAGCAGGUACUUGAAGUUGGCGUUGGUACAGAUGGUGUGUGUCUGUGUGUGUAUACAGCAGGUACUUGACGUUGGCGUUGGUACAGAUGGUGUGUGUCUGUGUGUGUAUACAGCAGGUACUUGACGUUGGCGUUGGUACAGAUGAUGUGUGUCUGUGUGUGUAUACAGCAGGUACUUGAAGUUGGUACAGAUGAUGUGU